GGACCAUCAGGCCAGACAAGAGGAAGUUAGCUUUGUUAUAUGAUAAUCCCAAUAUCGGGUGGAAGAGCUUCAAGCGGCAAAUGCAUAGUAUACGAGCACAUAGUGAUUCAAAAGGAAUUGAGAUUAAAAGACCAAAUGACUCGAUAUAUACAUUCCCUUGCCCAGAUUGCAUGUGUCGGAGUAACAGGACUGAGGAUUCUAAAUCCUCCUCAGUAACGUGACCUAUGUGUUUGUCAAUAGGUGGUGUUCUUAUUCUUGUAGUACGCAUGAACUUUCGC
rnacentral:misc_RNA from 1 species